rnacentral:rRNA from 2 species
GAGUAAUGUCUGGGAAACUGCCUGAUGGAGGGGGAUAACUACUGGAAACGGUGGCUAAUACCGCAUAACGUCGCAAGACCAAAGAGGGGGACCUUCGGGCCUCUUGCCAUCAGAUGUGCCCAGAUGGGAUUAGCUUGUUGGUGAGGUAACGGCUCACCAAGGCGACGAUCCCUAGCUGGUCUGAGAGGAUGACCAGCCACACUGGAACUGAGACACGGUCCAGACUCCUACGGGAGGCAGCAGUGGGGAAUAUUGCACAAUGGGCGCAAGCCUGAUGCAGCCAUGCCGCGUGUAUGAAGAAGGCCUUCGGGUUGUAAAGUACUUUCAGCGGGGAGGAAGGUGUUGUGGUUAAUAACCGCAGCAAUUGACGUUACCCGCAGAAGAAGCACCGGCUAACUCCGUGCCAGCAGCCGCGGUAAUACGGAGGGUGCAAGCGUUAAUCGGAAUUACUGGGCGUAAAGCGCACGCAGGCGGUCUGUCAAGUCGGAUGUGAAAUCCCCGGGCUCAACCUGGGAACUGCAUUCGAAACUGGCAGGCUUGAGUCUUGUAGAGGGGGGUAGAAUUCCAGGUGUAGCGGUGAAAUGCGUAGAGAUCUGGAGGAAUACCGGUGGCGAAGGCGGCCCCCUGGACAAAGACUGACGCUCAGGUGCGAAAGCGUGGGGAGCAAACAGGAUUAGAUACCCUGGUAGUCCACGCCGUAAACGAUGUCUACUUGGAGGCUGUGCCCUUGAGGCGUGGCUUCCGGAGCUAACGCGUUAAGUAGACCGCCUGGGGAGUACGGCCGCAAGGUUAAAACUCAAAUGAAUUGACGGGGGCCCGCACAAGCGGUGGAGCAUGUGGUUUAAUUCGAUGCAACGCGAAGAACCUUACCUGGUCUUGACAUCCACAGAAGUUUGCAGAGAUGCGAAUGUGCCUUCGGGAACUGUGAGACAGGUGCUGCAUGGCUGUCGUCAGCUCGUGUUGUGAAAUGUUGGGUUAAGUCCCGCAACGAGCGCAACCCUUAUCCUUUGUUGCCAGCGGUUAGG